rfam:Triticum urartu cultivar G1812 contig427269, whole genome shotgun sequence.
UAAGUAGUCCCUCCGUCCGAAAAUUCUUGUAUUAGAUUUGUCUAAAUACGGAUGUAUCAAGUCACAUUUUAGUAUUAGAUACAUCUGUAUCUAGACAAAUAUAAGACAAGAAUUUUGGGACGGAGGGAGUAGCAC